AAUUCUCUCAACCACACAAAUGUGUUGUGGCUUGGAUAUGGAGGGUGCAGGCUUGAAGUUCAAGUCGAGCUCCUCUAAAAUACAUAAGUAGUGGUCAGAGAAACUACAGAUGUGAUAAAUUAUCUACAUCUUAGUGUAUGGUAUUACGCUGCUUUCAAACACCUCCAUCUCUUUGACGU
rnacentral:misc_RNA from 1 species